GUGCAGCAGGCGCGAAACCUCCGCAAUGCGGGAAACCGUGACGGGGCCACCCCGAGUGCCCCCUUACGGGGGCUUUUCCCCGCUGUAGGAAGGCGGGGGAAUAAGCGGGGGGCAAGUCUGGUGUCAGCCGCCGCGGUAAUACCAGCCCCGCGAGUGGUCGGGACGAUUAUUGGGCCUAAAGCGCCCGUAGCCGGCCCGGCAAGUCCCCUCCUAAAUUCCCGGGCUCAACCCGGGGACUGGAGGGGAUACUGCCGGGCUAGGGGGUGGGAGAGGCCGAGGGUACUCCCGGGGUAGGGGCGAAAUCCUAUAAUCCCGGGAGGACCACCAGUGGCGAAGGCGCUCGGCUGGAACACGCCCGACGGUGAGGGGCGAAAGCCGGGGGAGCGAACCGGAUUAGAUACCCGGGUAGUCCCGGCUGUAAACGAUGCGGGCUAGGUGUUGGGUGGGCUUAGAGCCCACCCAGUGCCGCAGGGAAGCCGUUAAGCCCGCCGCCUGGGGAGUACGGCCGCAAGGCUGAAACUCAAAGGAAUUGGCGGGGGAGCAC
rnacentral:rRNA from 1 species